rnacentral:rRNA from 1 species
UACGUAGGGGGCGAGCGUUGUCCGGAUUUAUUGGGCGUAAAGAGCGUGUAGGCGGCCAGGUAGGUCCGUUGUGAAAACUCGAGGCUCAACCUCGAGACGUCGGCGGAAACCCUCUGGCUAGAGUCCGGAAGAGGAGAGUGGAAUUCCUGGUGUAGCGGUGAAAUGCGCAGAUAUCAGGAGGAACACCGGUGGCGAAGGCGGUUCUCUGGGCAUGUUCUGACGCUGAGGAGCGAAAGUGUGGGGAGCGAACAGG